rnacentral:rRNA from 1 species
AACCUUACCAGGUCUUGACAUACUCGUGCUAUUCCUAGAGAUAGGAAGUUCCUUCGGGACACGGGAUACAGGUGGUGCAUGGUUGUCGUCAGCUCGUGUCGUGAGAUGUUGGGUUAAGUCCGCAACGAGCGCAACCCCUAUUGUUAGUUGCCAUCAUUAAGUUGGGCACUCUAACGAGACUGCCGGUGAUAAACCGGAGGAAGGUGGGGAUGACGUCAAAUCAUCAUGCCCCUUAUGACCUGGGCUACACACGUGCUACAAUGGAUGGUACAACGAGUCGCGAGACAGUGAUGUUUAGCUAAUCUCUUAAAACCAUUCUCAGUUCGGAUUGUAGGCUGCAACUCGCCUACAUGAAGUCGGAAUCGCUAGUAAUCGCGGAUCAGCACGCCGCGGUGAAUACGUUCCCGGGCCUUGUACACACCGCCCGUCACACCGCGGGAGUUGGGAGUACCCGAAGUAGGUUGCCUAACCGCAAGGAGGGCGCUUCCUAAGGUAAGACCGAUGACUGGGGUGAAGUCGUAACAAGGUAGGCGUAGCGAG